rnacentral:rRNA from 1 species
GGGACCCGAUGAGGGGUUCCGAGUGCAGGCUUGGGUGGCUGUUCUCCUGUCUAAAAAACUGGAAUAAGGGGCGGGUAAGUAUGGUGGCCGCCGCCGCGGUAAUACCCGCGGCCCGAGUGGUGGGCAGUUUUAUUGGGCUUAAAACGUCCGGAACCGGUCCGGUUAAUUCUCUGGUAAAUCCGCCAGCUUAACUGGUGGAGUUCUGGGGAGACUGCGACAGUUUCGAUCCGGAGAGGUCUGAGGUACUUUUCGGGGGUGGGUAUGAAAUCGUAAAAUUAUGAAAGGACACGUGUGGAGGAGGGCUCACUACAAAAAUUCCACGGGAGGGCAAACCCCGGGGGCAAACGGAUUUUACCCGGUGAUCGGGUAAAACUACCGCCUGGUUGGGGUCUUUGUGCCCCUCUGCCCCAAAGAUUGUUACUGCUGCUUGGGAGUCCCCCCAAGGUGACAUUAAAGGAUUG